rnacentral:rRNA from 1 species
CUACGGGGGGCUCCAGUGAGGAAUAUUGCACAAUGGGGGGAACCCUGAUGCAGCAACGCCGCGUGGAGGAUGACGCAUUUCGGUGUGUAAACUCCUUUUAUAUGUCAAGAAAAUGACGGUAGCAUAUGAAUAAGCACCGGCUAACUCCGUGCCAGCAGCCACGGUGAAUACGGAGGGUGCAAGCGUUACUCGGAAUCACUGGGCGUAAAGGACGCGUAGGCGGGUUGGAAAGUCAGGUGUGAAAUCCUACAGCUUAACUGUAGAACUGCACUUGAAACUUCUAAUCUAGAGUAUGGGAGGGGGAGAUGGAAUUAGUGGUGUAGGGGUAAAAUCCGUAGAUAUCACUAGGAAUACCUAAAGCGAAGGCGAUCUCCUGGAACAUUACUGACGCUAAGGCGUGAAAGCGUGGGGAGCAAACAGGAUUAGAUACCCCGGUAGUC